GUAAAAAGAGAAAAAAGAAGGCAGCAGAAAGCUGGAAAAAUCUCUGGGAAAAAAAGAGAAAGCAAAACGACGACACGGGGAUCCCCAGAAGCUGGUGAGAAGGAGGAACCAGAAACCCCUGCUGCUGGACGGUCACGGAAUAAGGGAACCGAGAGGAACCAUCUGAAGGCAAAAGUCAGGGAGAAGAGGAGAGCUGGACGAGAGUUUGAUCCCCAAAAGCACAAGCACAACAGCGGGAUAAGGAUUUUCCCCCAGGAGAAGAGACAGAUCUGCAAGAUGCAGGUUCCCCGGAUCCAGGAAGAGACCCAUCGAAUGUUAAAUCAAGGGAAUUUUCAGGAGGAAGUUUAAAAUCAAUCAACUGGGUUGAAGUGAGAAGAAAAGCUUUAAAGGGAGGAGAUUUCGACCUAGCAAAAGACUAGUUUAUAGCCUUGCCAAUGCUCCAACACAAAAUGAGAUGAAGGAAACUCGUGGAUUUUUUUAUCUUAGAGAUCCCCAAAACCAAUCUUUACAAUGCUAGAGAUGACAUCAUAAUCAGAGCCAGAGUGAGAUUGCUAACAAUAGCAGGCAAAGAUUUUGCAGUGUUUUACCUACCAUUGAAAAGAGAAUAUUUCUAUGGGCAAUGCAAAAAUCAGAAGAUUUAGAAAUUGCAUUAUUGAAUUAUUUAGGUGUUUUUUCUAUCCAUUUUUCAAGUAAAAACUGUUGCAAGUGAAAUUGAGCUUCAGAGAAAAGCUCAUGUUGAGUGAAAUGUCUUUUGUGUUAAUAGUAUCAAAAUUAAUUAGAAAGCUUAUGGAUAUUGAAUUUUAAUUUUGCUAUAUUUAAUUUCAUAUAAGUUUAGUGUUGACAAGAUUAAUCAAAGUUUCACUAUGUUUAGGUCUGAGCAAUGUUUAAAAUUUUUUUCUAUCAAAUUUCAUUCAUGUCAAGUUUGAAUGUUGUUUGAUCUAAAUUGUCUCAAGUUUUGUUAAAAGACGCUUAUCUAAACUGCAAAAUGUAGUUAUUUUCUUUUGGAAAUACGAUGAUUGAAACAGCUGUGAUGAAACAUGGAUAGACACGUGCUUGUGGAUGGAAGAAGAUACAGUCUAUUGCAUCCCUGAUUUCAUCAAAGAUUUUAUUAUUCAUUACAAUCUCUACUGUUUUUGACUUUUAUAGGUAACAUGGAAGAAUAGUGACUGUUAUUAAUACUAAGAUGUUUUAAAGUUUUCUUACUUUGUUUCAUUUCUUGUUAUUGAUACAUGAAUGUUUUAUAAAUACUAUCUUCCUCAGAUACCUGCUGCUGAU
rnacentral:lncRNA from 1 species